GAGGGUAUAGCUCCGUGGCGGAGUGCAUGCUUAGCAUGCACGAGGUCCUGGGUUCAAUCCCCAGUACCUCUG
rnacentral:tRNA from 1 species